rnacentral:rRNA from 1 species
GACGAACGCUGGCGGCGUGCCUAACACAUGCAAGUCGAACGGAAAGGCCCUGCUUUUGUGGGGUGCUCGAGUGGCGAACGGGUGAGUAACACGUGAGUAACCUGCCCUUGACUUUGGGAUAACUUCAGGAAACUGGGGCUAAUACCGGAUAGGAGCUCCUGCUGCAUGGUGGGGGUUGGAAAGUUUCGGCGGUUGGGGAUGGACUCGCGGCUUAUCAGCUUGUUGGUGGGGUAGUGGCUUACCAAGGCUUUGACGGGUAGCCGGCCUGAGAGGGUGACCGGCCACAUUGGGACUGAGAUACGGCCCAGACUCCUACGGGAGGCAGCAGUGGGGAAUGUUGCACAAUGGGCGGAAGCCUGAUGCAGCAACGCCGCGUGCGGGAUGACGGCCUUCGGGUUGUAAACCGCUUUCGCCUGUGACGAAGCGUGAGUGACGGUAAUGGGUAAAGAAGCACCGGCUAACUACGUG